AUUGAACGCUGGCGGCAGGCCUAACACAUGCAAGUCGAACGAGUGGCGGACGGGUGAGUAAUGUCUGGGAAACUGCCUGAUGGAGGGGGAUAACUACUGGAAACGGUAGCUAAUACCGCAUACCAUCGGAUGUGCCCAGAUGGGAUUAGCUAGUAGGUGGGGUAAAGGCUCACCUAGGCGACGAUCCCUAGCUGGUCUGAGAGGAUGACCAGCCAAACUGGAACGGAGAAAAGGUCCAGACGCCGACGGGAGGCAGGAGUGGGGAAUAUUGCAAAAUGGGCGCAAGCCGGAGGCAGCCAUGCCGAGUGUAUGAAGAAGGGCUUCGGGUUGGAAAGUACUUUCAGCGGGGAGGCGUUACCCGCAGAAGAAGCACCGGCUAACUCCGUGCCAGCAGCCGCGGUAAUUC
rnacentral:rRNA from 1 species